rnacentral:rRNA from 1 species
CCCUUAGAUGUUCUGGGCCGCACGCGCGCUACACUGACGAAUGCAACGAGCUUAUAACCUUGGCCGAAAGGUCUGGGUAAUCUCCAAAAUCCGUCGUGAUGGGGAUAGAUUAUUGCAAUUAUUAAUCUUCAACGAGGAAUGCCUAGUAAGCGCAAGUCAUCAGCUUGCGUUGAUUACGUCCCCGCCCUUUGUACACACCGCCCGUCGCUCCUACCGAUUGAAUGGUCCGGUGAAGCGUUUGGACUAUGGUUUUCUGAUGGUCCGCCGUUGGAUUACCGUGGGAAGUUCGUUAAACCUUAUCAUUUAGAGGAAGGAGAAGUCGUAACA